rnacentral:rRNA from 1 species
CGAAUGCUGACAUAAGUAACGAUAAAGCGGGUGAAAAGCCCGCUCGCCGGAAGACCAAGGGUUCCUGUCCAACGUUAAUCGGGGCAGGGUGAGUCGACCCCUAAGGCGAGGCCGAAAGGCGUAGUCGAUGGGAAACAGGUUAAUAUUCCUGUACUUGGUGUUACUGCGAAGGGGGGACGGAGAAGGCUAUGUUGGCCGGGCGACGGUUGUCCCGGUUUAAGCGUGUAGGCUGGUUUUCCAGGCAAAUCCGGAAAAUCAAGGCUGAGGCGUGAUGACGAGGCACUACGGUGCUGAAGCAACAAAUGCCCUGCUUCCAGGAAAAGCCUCUAAGCAUCAGGUAACAUCAAAUCGUACCCCAAACCGACACAGGUGGUCAGGUAGAGAAUACCAAGGCGCUUGAGAGAACUCGGGUGAAGGAACUAGGCAAAAUGGUGCCGUAACUUCGGGAGAAGGCACGCUGAUAUGUAGGUGAAGUCCCUCGCGGAUGGAGCUGAAAUCAGUCGAAGAUACCAGCUGGCUGCAACUGUUUAUUAAAAACACAGCACUGUGCAAACACGAAAGUGGACGUAUACGGUGUGACGCCUGCCCGGUGCCGGAAGGUUAAUUGAUGGGGUCAGCGCAAGCGAAGCUCUUGAUCGAAGCCCCGGUAAACGGCGGCCGUAACUAUAACGGUCCUAAGGUAGCGAAAUUCCUUGUCGGGUAAGUUCCGACCUGCACGAAUGGCGUAAUGAUGGCCAGGCUGUCUCCACCCGAGACUCAGUGAAAUUGAACUCGCUGUGAAGAUGCAGUGUACCCGCGGCAAGACGGAAAGACCCCGUGAACCUUUACUAUAGCUUGACACUGAACAUUGAGCCUUGAUGUGUAGGAUAGGUGGGAGGCUUUGAAGUGUGGACGCCAGUCUGCAUGGAGCCGACCUUGAAAUACCACCCUUUAAUGUUUGAUGUUCUAACGUUGACCCGUGAUCCGGGUUGCGGACAGUGUCUGGUGGGUAGUUUGACUGGGGCGGUCUCCUCCUAAAGAGUAACGGAGGAGCACGAAGGUUGGCUAAUCCUGGUCGGACAUCAGGAGGUUAGUGCAAUGGCAUAAGCCAGCUUGACUGCGAGCGUGACGGCGCGAGCAGGUGCGAAAGCAGGUCAUAGUGAUCCGGUGGUUCUGAAUGGAAGGGCCAUCGCUCAACGGAUAAAAGGUACUCCGGGGAUAACAGGCUGAUACCGCCCAAGAGUUCAUAUCGACGGCGGUGUUUGGCACCUCGAUGUCGGCUCAUCACAUCCUGGGGCUGAAGUAGGUCCCAAGGGUAUGGCUGUUCGCCAUUUAAAGUGGUACGCGAGCUGGGUUUAGAACGUCGUGAGACAGUUCGGUCCCUAUCUGCCGUGGGCGCUGGAGAAUUGAGGGGGGCUGCUCCUAGUACGAGAGGACCGGAGUGGACGCAUCACUGGUGUUCGGGUUGUCAUGCCAAUGGCACUGCCCGGUAGCUAAAUGCGGAAGAGAUAAGUGCUGAAAGCAUCUAAGCACGAAACUUGCCCCGAGAUGAGUUCUCCCUGACUCCUUGAGAGUCCUGAAGGAACGUUGAAGACGACGACGUUGAUAGGCCGGGUGUGUAAGCGCAGCGAUGCGUUGAGCUAACCGGUACUAAUGAACCGUGAGGCUUAACCUU